rnacentral:rRNA from 1 species
UGAGGAAUAUUGGACAAUGGGCGCAAGCCUGAUCCAGCCAUGCCGCGUGCAGGAAGAAGCAUCUAUGGUGUGUAAACUGCUUUUGUACGGGAAGAAACACUCCUACGUGUAGGAGCUUGACGGUACCGUAAGAAUAAGGAUCGGCUAACUCCGUGCCAGCAGCCGCGGUAAUACGGAGGAUCCAAGCGUUAUCCGGAAUCAUUGGGUUUAAAGGGUCCGUAGGCGGUUUAGUAAGUCAGUGGUGAAAGCCCAUCGCUCAACGAUGGAACGGCCAUUGAUACUGCUAGACUUGAAUUAUUAGGAAGUAACUAGAAUAUGUAGUGUAGCGGUGAGAUGCUUAGAUAUUACAUGGAAUACCAAUUGCGAAGGCAGGUUACUACUAAUGGAUUGACCCUCAUGCACGAAAGCGUGGGGAGCAAACA